rnacentral:rRNA from 1 species
AGCGAACGCUGGCGGCAGGCCUAACACAUGCAAGUCGAACGAACCUUUCGGGGUUAGUGGCGGACGGGUGAGUAACACGUGGGAACGUGCCUUUAGGUUCGGAAUAACUCAGGGAAACUUGUGCUAAUACCGAAUGUGCCCUUCGGGGGAAAGAUUUAUCGCCUUUAGAGCGGCCCGCGUCUGAUUAGCUAGUUGGUUGAGGUAAUGGCUCACCAAGGCGACGAUCAGUAGCUGGUCUGAGAGGAUGAUCAGCCACAUUGGGACUGAGACACGGCCCAAACUCCUACGGGAGGCAGCAGUGGGGAAUCUUGCGCAUUGGGCGAAAGCCUGACGCAGCCAUGCCGCGUGAAUGAUGAAGGUCUUAGGAUUGUAAAAUUCUUUCACCGGGGACGAUAAUGACGGUACCCGGAGAAGAAGCCCCGGCUAACUUCGUG